rnacentral:ncRNA from 1 species
UUCAGGCUGCCGCCGGGCAGUCUGAAUGUGAGAGGGUGGAUUGAUGUAUCGUAGGCCUUAGAGAUACACUCGAUCCACCCUUUAUAAAU